rnacentral:rRNA from 1 species
UACCUGCAGCCCAAGUGGUGGUCGAUUUUAUUGAGUCUAAAACGUUCGUAGCCGAUUUGGUAAAUCUUUGGGUAAAUCGGGAGGCUCAACUUUCCGACUUCCGAAGAGACUGUCAAACUUGGGACCGGGAGAGGCUAGAGGUGCUUCUGGGGUAGGGGUAAAAUCCUGUAAUCCUAGAAGGACCACCGGUGGCGAAGGCGUCUAGCUAGAACGGAUCCGACGGUGAGGGACGAAGCCCUGGGUCGCAAACGGGAUUAGAUACCCCGGUAGUCCAGGGUGUAAACGCUGCCGACUUGGUGUUGGAGGCCCUUCGGGGGCAUUCAGUGCCGGAGAGAAGUUGUUAAGUCGGCUACUUGGGGAGUACGUCCGCAAGGAUGAAACUUAAA